rnacentral:lncRNA from 1 species
AAAAAAAAAAAAAAAAAACUCAAAACCAACCUCAAUCAUACAUUCAUAUCCUCUUCCUACCCCCAUCUUGGAUGAGAUAAGAUUAACGAGGUGCUUACACGUGUCACCUCUAUUGUGGUGACUUAAAAAAAAUUCCAACCUUUCAUAUGUAGAUAUUAAGUAAUUGUAUAAUGUUAUCAAGAACCACAUAACAUAUCAAAAACCUUAUCAUUUCAUUAUAUAAAAGGAUAGUGGACAUCAAAAGGUUCAUAUUGAACCAAAAAAAGAGAGAAGAAGCAAUAUGGCUUCCUCUGUCAUUUCUUCAGCAGCUGUUGCCACACGCAGCAAUGUUACACAAGCUAGCAUGGUUGCACCUUUCACUGGUCUCAAAUCUUCAGCCACUUUCCCUGUUACAAAGAAGCAAAACCUUGACAUCACUUCCAUUGCUAGCAAUGGUGGAAGAGUUAGCUGCAUGCAGGUAACUCACUCAUCGGUUUUCCGAAAUUGAUAUUUUCUUAGUAUGUUGUAACAUGUAAUCUGUCUUAUUUCUCGAUUCAAUUAUCUAAGGGUUAUAUGUAUGUUAGCUACUCUCUCUGGCUUAAUUUAUGUGACGGUAGUACUAUUUUAUUUUAGUUAGUAUAAAAAAGAGUGAUUUACUUUGUUUCAGUUUGUUUGUUUAAUCUUAAUUUAACAUAACUUUUAAGAAAAUUAAAAAGUCUUUUGAAUUUGUAGUUUUAAAUUAAAGUUACGUAGAAUGUAUUAAAAUAUCCUACAUUUUGUGAUUUCAAACAUGUUAACUGUCACGUGAAAAAUUAGAAUUAGAUAAUUAUCAAAAAAAAAAAAAGAGACUUUAGAAGAGUAAUAUAAACAAAUUGAAACAUGAGUAUAUGUAGUUACUGACCUCUGAUCUAGUUUAUGCCAUUAUUAUUUUUCUUUUUAAGUCUGUUUUAAAAGAAUGACAUAUUUUUAUAUUUAAUAGCAGUAUUGAUUUAAGUUUGAAAAAAAUUUCUAUUUUAUCUUUAAUGAGAUGAUUUAUAAUUACAUAAGUAUUUAUAUUAUCUUAGACCAUAAACUACGAAAAUCUCUGUUUAUUCUUAAAAUUCCAUUUACCAUUAAGUACCUCCACAUAAGAAUUAAAAAAAGAGAGUAUCUUUCAAAUUAUCUGAUAAUUCAUAGAAGUUAAAAGAUCCAAUUGCUUAACUUAUCUUUGAUUAUAUUAAACACAUGAAAAGUGUAUCCUACGUAUAAUCUCUACGUUCAAAAUUAAAGACAAAUUUAAGAUCUAGAAUUGAUGAACUCAAAAUAUCUCUAUCUUAUUAUUAUUAUGUAUAUAUACAACUUAAUUUUUCGAAAUGUUGAUGAAUGUAUGUUAAAUCCUUUACAAUAGUGCAUUUUUAGAUAAUUCGAUAAGAGUGUAACAAUAUUUUCAGAAAGUCGAUAACUUUUUUUUCUUUUUUUUUUUUGGAUAUGUGUAUAGGUGUGGCCACCAAUUAACAUGAAGAAGUACGAGACACUCUCAUACCUUCCUGAUUUGUCUGACGAGCAAUUGCUUAGUGAAAUUGAGUACCUUUUGAAAAAUGGAUGGGUUCCUUGCUUGGAAUUUGAGACUGAGGUCAAUAUCAUAUUUACUUUUGUUUUAUCGAAAAAUGAUAUAUUUUUAUAUUUAGAUACGAUUUAUAUUUAACACUUCAAUGUUUUUUUUAUGUGUAGCACGGAUUUGUCUACCGUGAGAACAACAAGUCACCAGGAUACUAUGAUGGAAGGUCAGUAGCGGAUUCAUAAGUUAAAGAAUUCAUUCAUACUUUUUUUUAGUUAAAUCGUAGGUAUAGGUACGAGAAUCAUGAAAAUUAAUAUAAAUAUCAUGUUUCGAACUCGUUUAUUAAAAAAAAAAAACUCAUAAAACAUACUAUGAACAUCACUAGUCUGUAUAAAAAGGGAAAAAAAAGAAGAUAAAUAUACCCUUAGAAUAUCAUAAGUGGUAUGCAGAUAUCUUCGGUCAUAGUUUUGGGACAUUGGUACUUCUGCCGUCCAAAAACUAGAACGUUGAUAUAUAUGUUGUAGUUUUUGGACCGCAGAAGCAUCAAUGUCCCAAAAAUAUGAUGAAAAAUAUCUGUAUACUAUUUACGAUAGUUCGGAUAUAUUUGUCCCUUUUUUCUAAGUUUUUAUAAAGUUAAAAAGUUAAAAUUUUGAAUCCGCAGGUACUGGACCAUGUGGAAGUUGCCUAUGUUUGGGUGCACUGAUGCAACCCAAGUGUUGGCUGAGGUUCAAGAGGCUAAAAAGGCAUACCCACAAGCAUGGGUCAGAAUCAUUGGAUUCGAC